GCUUACGGCCACCCGCCUGGUUCAUGCCCGAUCUCGUUUGAUCUCGGAAGCUAAGAUAGGGUGGGCCUGGUUAGUACUUGGAUGGGAGACCUGGGAAUACCAGGUGCUGUAAGCU
rnacentral:rRNA from 1 species